CCUACGGGGGACAGCAGUGGGGAAUAUUGGUCAAUGGGGGGAACCCUGAUCCAGCGACGCCGCGUGCGUGAAGAAGUAUUUCGGGUUGUAAACUUCUUUUUUCAGGGACGUAGCAAGUGAUGGUACUUGAUGAUUAAGCCACGGCUAACUACGUGCCAGCAGCCGCGGUAAUACGUCGGUGGCAAGCGUUAUCCGGAUUUACUGGGUGUAAAGGGCGUGUAGGCGGGAGUGCAAGUCAGAUGUGAAAACUAUGGGCUCAACCCAUAGCCUGCAUUUGAAACUGUACUGCUUGAGUGCUGGAGAAGCAAGCGGAAUUCCGUGUGUAGCGGUGAAAUGCGUAGAUAUACGGAGGAACACCAGUGGCGAAGGCGGAUUGCUGGAGAGUAACUGACGCUGAGGCGCGAAAGCGUGGGGAGCAAACAGGAUUAGAUACCCUAGUAGUC
rnacentral:rRNA from 1 species